rnacentral:tRNA from 1 species
GCGGAAUUGGUGAAGGGGUUAACACGGUGGAUUGUGGUUCCAUUAUGCAUCGGUUCGAAUCCGAUAUUCCGCCCCA